UACGUAGGGUCCGAGCGUUGUCCGGAAUUACUGGGCGUAAAGCGCGCGCAGGCGGCCCGCGAGGUGUCACGUGAAAGCCCCGGGCUCAACCCGGGAGGGUCGUGGCAAACCGGCGGGCUUGAGGCCGGUAGAGGUGGGUGGAACUCCUGGUGGAGUGGUGAAAUGCGUAGAGAUCAGGAAGAACACCCGUGGCGAAGGCGGCCCACUGGGCCGGUACUGACGCUGAGGAGCGAAAGCAUGGGGAGCGAACAGG
rnacentral:rRNA from 1 species